UUUUCUGAAUAGUUUAGACUCAUAUUUGUAUCUUAAUAGUUUAGAGUACCUCUUAAUAUAAAAAUGUGGGCUCUUAAAAUAUAUUAAGAGAUGGACUUUUAAGAUGGAAUAAGAUGUAAUCAAACACCAUAUAAGAGGUGGACUGUUAAGAUGUAUUAAAAUGGAAUCAAACUAAUAUGUUAUAAUUUUAUUUCGUACACUAUUAACCGAACAACUUGUUAUUUUUAGAGAGACG
rnacentral:lncRNA from 1 species